rnacentral:misc_RNA from 1 species
AAAUUUUAUGAUUAUAUGAACCUUUUCUCACAUAGAUUUUCUCUUCGUCUUGAUAUUUGAGCUGCAAGGCCCAAUACAUUGGACAGAGAUGGUGAACUAUUUGUUGAAGUUGACCCUACUGGACGGUUUGGGCGAUAUGAUGAUCUGCUUGGUGCUGGUGCUGUUAAGAAGGUUUAUCGGGCAUUUGAUCAAGAGGAAGGUACAGAGGUGGCAUGGAAUCGAGUGCGGUUGAGGAAUUUUAUUGAAGAUCCAGUUCUCAUUAAUAGGCUCCAUUCUGAAGUUAAGUUGUUAAGAACAUUAAAAAACAAGUACAUCAUUGUUUGCUACAGUGUUUGGUUGGAUGAAGACCUUGGUACAUUGAAUUUUAUUACUGAGGUGUGUACAUCUGGAAAUCUAAGAAAUUACAGGAAGAAGCAUCGCCAUGUCUCCUUGAAAGCC